GGGACCACAGGAUCCUGGGCUGUGUCCCCGGCGCCCUGGGCUCCGGGGCCUGCGCUGCUGGAAUCGCUCCUGGGGCCGCGGCUCCC
rnacentral:pre_miRNA from 1 species